GAUGAACGCUAGCGAUAGGCUUAACACAUGCAAGUCGAGGGGCAGCGAGGGUAGCAAUACCUGUCGGCGACCGGCGCACGGGUGAGUAACGCGUAUGUAACCUGCCCGCAACAGGGGGAUAACCCGGCGAAAGUCGGACUAAUACCGCAUAAAACAGGGGUCCCGCAUGGGAAUAUUUGUUAAAGAUUUAUCGGUUGCGGAUGGGCAUGCGUACCAUUAGGUAGUUGGUGAGGUAACGGCUCACCAAGCCUUCGAUGGUUAGGGGUUCUGAGAGGAAGGUCCCCCACACUGGUACUGAGACACGGACCAGACUCCUACGGGAGGCAGCAGUGAGGAAUAUUGGUCAAUGGGCGAGAGCCUGAACCAGCCAAGUCGCGUGAAGGAGGACUGCCCUAUGGGUUGUAAACUUCUUUUACAAGGGAAUAAAAUGAGAUACGUGUAUUUUAUUGCAUGUACCUUGGGAAAAAGCAUCGGCUAACUCCGUG
rnacentral:rRNA from 1 species